UUGCUUUACGCCACCCAGAAGAUGGUUCUGUGAUGAUUCAAGCAAUGGAUGAAGUCUUUCAGAAACAUGGCAAGAAGUUGCAUAUUGUGGAUUUUUUUACUCAAGUGAACAACAGAGUGGUGCACACAGACUUUUACAUGGAUGAGGAUCCUGUCAAAGUGGUGCCGGUCAUGGAGUCCACUCUCACCAAAGCUGUGUACUUUUGACGCUUGGUGGAGGCAGAGGUGGAGGAGGUGGAAGAUUUUCAGUACAGAAUAAUUUGUUUAUGCAUUAGCACUGUGCUUUACAUUGUAUCAAAUACUGGCUCUUAUGUAUGUUGGAUGUAAUGUGUUGUGAAGGUUUCAUCAGAAACUGCAGCACAAAGCAGUCAGUCUUAUAUCCUGACACUCUGGACAAUCCCUGCACUUGUCAUUACUAAGUGAACUGAAGCAGGUGCUGCACUCCUGUUCCCACCACACUGACUCUGGUUCUGUACCCUGCUAAAUGCUCACAAGCCUCAAAGACCCUGCAAAGUUAGAGACUGUUCCCACAGGACCCAAGAACUCCUGUGUUGUGCUAAAGACACCCGUACAUGUCACCCUGCUGUGGGAACUGUUUACUCAACACCGAAGAAGGAUUGUGUUGGGUCCUGCCUUUUUGUGGGUUUCAUGCUUAACAACCCUCACCCUGCCACAAAUCACAAGCUGUCUUCAGCAGGACAUUGAUUUGCAAACCUGUUUUCCUCACUCUGAAAAUAAACUUUUGUUUGAUUCCUGA